GCCCUAGGCGUGGGGGAGAACUGGGGAAACUGGAAUUUCCCGCGGAGCUGACAGCGCUUGCGCUCCCCCUACUCGUUCUAAUUCCACGCGCUCCAAAAUAUCCGCCAUGGAGAAAUCUUGGCCAGGAUGUCCAUUCUAGGCCCAUCGGUGCUGUCUUGCUGAAGGUUGGGUCAGGCAUCUAAAGGGACUGUGGUAAGGGAGGGUGUGACACAGGUGUAAGCUGCCAUCGUCAUCAUGAACUUUGAGGGUCUGGACCCUGGACUGGCAGAAUAUGCCCCAGCCAUGCAUUCUGCCCUGGACCCUGUCUUGGAUGCCCACCUGAACCCAAGUCUGCUACAGAAUGUGGAGCUGGACCCAGAGGGAGUGGCCUUGGAGGCUCUUCCCGUCCAGGAAUCAGUGCACAUAAUGGAAGGUGUCUACUCUGAAUUGCACAGCGUGGUGGCUGAAGUGGGUGUACCUGUUUCCGUCUCCCACUUUGACUUGCACGAGGAGAUGCUGUGGGUGGGGAGCCACGGGGUAAGAACUGUACCCCUUUGUGAGGGUUGAAAGAUGUUGAAGGUCUUUAUCUGGUCUUAACCCAAGGAAGCUGCUUUGC
rnacentral:sRNA from 1 species